AUCGAAACUUCUUUCGAUGGAUCAGAAUAAUUUCAGCUUAACUCAAUAAGGAUUGUUGAUUAGAAAAUAAUUCUAGUGAAUUCUCACAAUCCACCAGUGAUGUCUAGUAGCAUAUAGUGGCAAUCCAAUAGAAUAAAAAAAAUCUGAACUCCUAGGUGCAGUAACCAUAUGAUUCAGUCCUUCUAUCGUGAGUCCUAACUAGAUGGAGAUUAUGGAGAACUCGUCAAAUUUCAUCGUCAGUCAUAUGUCAGAUAGGCUCAACUCGAGUUUAUCUGUGAAUUUUGUAAAAUUUUUUUUUUAGUAUCCAAACUUGCUUCAAUCAAAGACUUUCUGAACUCAGUCUUGCUAAUCGCAUAGGACUUCUCUUUUUCUAUCAAGAUCGAUAGAUUCUAUCUAGGUAUAUCCUACUCUAACAGUGAACCUGAAUCUACUGUAGCCAACAUACACAGUAAAAAAUCGAAUGGUUAAAGAAUAAGAGAACGUACAGUCAAACUCAGUAGCCUCGCUGUGAAUAACCGAUGACAUCGUAGGUCAAAGGAUCACGCACCACUAUAGCAUCGAGAAGAUCACUGACGAAUGAGUAGAUAUCUAUGUGGUUUCUCGUAUUGAUUAUGCUCAGUGCAAGUUGUUCUCUAUCAACCACCUGCAUUGUCACCCUAAUGUCACCACAUCGCAGACUUAAGACUCAUCUGCCUAUGAGGGAGG
rnacentral:lncRNA from 1 species